CGCGGCCUAUCAGCUUGUUGGUGGGGUAAUGGCCUACCAAGGCGUCGACGGGUAGCUGGUCUGAGAGGACGAUCAGCCACACUGGGACUGAGACACGGCCCAGACUCCUACGGGAGGCAGCAGCAGGGAAUCUUGCGCAAUGGGCGAAAGCCUGACGCAGCAACGCCGCGUGGGGGAUGACGGCCUUCGGGUUGUAAACCUCUUUCAGUAGGGAAGAAGCGAAAGUGACGGUACCUGCAGAAGAAGCGCCGGCUAACUACGUGCCAGCAGCCACGGUAAUACGUAGGGCGCAAGCGUUAUCCGGAAUUAUUGGGCGUAAAGAGCUCGUAGGCGGUGUGUCACGUCGGUCGUGGAAACUUGGGGCUCAACCCUGAGCGUGCGGUCGAUACGGGCAUCACUUGAGUUCGGCAGGGGAGACUGGAAUUCCUGGUGUAGCGGUGAAAUGCGCAGAUAUCAGGAGGAACACCGGUGGCGAAGGCGGGUCUCUGGGCCGAUACUGACGCUGAGGAGCGAAAGCGUGGGGAGCGAACAGGAUUAGAUACCCUGGUAGUCCACGCCGUAAACGGUGGGCACUAGGUGUGGGGGCCAUUCCACGGUCUCUGUGCCGCAGCUAACGCAUUAAGCACCCCGCCUGGGGAGUACGG
rnacentral:rRNA from 1 species